rnacentral:rRNA from 1 species
GAAGACCUACGGGAGACAGCAGUGGGGGAUAUUGCACAAUGGGGGCAACCCUGAUGCAGCGACGCCGCGAGGGUGAAGAAGCGCCUCGGCGCGUAAAGCCCUGUUAGCAGGGAAGAAAAUGACGGUACCUGAAGAAGAAGCCCCGGCUAACUACGUGCCAGCAGCCGCGGUAAUACGUAGGGGGCAAGCGUUAUCCGGCUUUACUGGGUGUAAAGGGGUCGCAGACGGCGAUGCAAGCCAGGAGUGAAAGCCCGGGGCCCAACACCGG